rnacentral:rRNA from 1 species
GGCAGGCCUAAUACAUGCAAGUCGAACGGUGGUAGCAAUACCAUAGUGGCGCACGGGUGCGUAACACGUAACUAACCUACCUAUCACUGGGGGAUAGCCCGCCGAAAGGCGGAUUAAUACCGCAUAACACUAUAAAGCGGCAUCGCUUAGUAGUUAAAGAUUUAUUGGUGAUAGAUGGGGUUGCGGGUCAUUAGCUAGUUGGGUAGGUAACGGCUGCCCAAGGCGACGAUGACUAGGGGAGCUGAGAGGCUGGUCCCCCACACGGGCACUGAGAUACGGGCCCGACUCCUACGGGAGGCAGCAGUAGGGAAUAUUGGGCAAUGGGCGAGAGCCUGACCCAGCCAUGCCGCGUGCAGGAAGAAGGCUUUCUGAGUCGUAAACUGCUUUUGACAGGGAAGAAUAAGGUGUACGUGUACACUGAUGACGGUACCUGCAGAAUAAGCACCGGCUAACUCCGUGCCAGCAGCCGCGGUAAUACGGAGGGUGCGAGCGUUGUCCGGAUUUAUUGGGUUUAAAGGGUGCGUAGGCGGCCAUUUAAGUCCGGGGUGAAAGCCCGUUGCUUAACAACGGAACUGCCCUGGA